CCUACGGGAGGCUGCAGUGGGGAAUAUUGCACAAUGGGGGAAACCCUGAUGCAGCGACGCCGCGUGAGUGAAGAAGUAAUUCGUUAUGUAAAGCUCUAUCAGCAGGGAAGAAAAUGACGGUACCUGAGUAAGAAGCUCCGGCUAACUACGUGCCAGCAGCCGCGGUAAUACGUCGGGGGCCAGCGUUAUCCGGAUGUACGGGGUGUAAAGGGAGCGUAGACGGGAGUGCAAGUCUGGAGUGAAAGGCGGGGGCUAAACCCCCGGACUGCUAUUGAAACUGGAAGGCUGGAGUGCAGGAGAGGUAAGUGGAAUUCCUAGUGUAGCGGUGAAAUGCGUAGAUAUUAGGAGGAACACCAGUGGCGAAGGCAGCUUACUGAACUGUAACUGACGUUGAGGCUCGAAAGCGUGGGGAGCAAACAGGAUUAGAUACCCCGGUAGUC
rnacentral:rRNA from 1 species